AUUAAUUUAUAUAACCGCUGGGAUCUUUUGAUUAGGUAAUUUAUAUGGAGGACAGGUUUAUAACGGCUAACUUACCGUCAUGUCCCGCAACAAUUAUUUCAAAAAUCCAGCUAUAAAAGCAGACAGUAAAUUUUAGAUUUUUCUAUUGCUGUCAUUGCAGCUCAUAACCUCGUAUCUGAUUUUCAAUAAAUCCUUUUUUAUGAAAUGGAGAGCAAUUACAUCAUCGCGAUCUUGAUGAUGCUAGGCAAGUUCCGAGGCAGAUGGUUUUGCAUAUACAGUACGUAUGGAUUUGACAGACACACUGUAUCACCGUGGCAACUGGGGAUAUACUGAACACACCUAUGCACUCAACGUUCUGUGACGUCGAUGUACUGUACAGUGGGUUCGGACGAAAUCUACAGUACGUGUCCAGUCAGAUUCCAACAGUCUUGACAAACGUGUAAUUGUCUCUGGGAGGUUUUAACGCCAAACAGUGUAAACUACCGAAUGGAAUGCUACAAAAGCCUAAAACCCAAUUUGUCAGAAGAGAAAAACAACCAAAAUCGGGAGGAGUAAUGCAAGAUCGAUAGACACUCCAGUUUUGAAACAAACCACCAAACAGGCUAGAUGAGACCAAUGGCCUCGUCUUGUUUGUAGCUUUUCUUAUGUCCUUAUGAAUUCAUCUCAAUCAAAAGACAUUACAGGGCUCCACAAACUGUGAA